rnacentral:rRNA from 1 species
UUAAGCGACUAAGCGUACACGGUGGAUGCCCUGGCAGUCAGAGGCGAUGAAGGACGUGCUAAUCUGCGAUAAGCGUCGGUAAGGUGAUAUGAACCGUUAUAACCGGCGAUUUCCGAAUGGGGAAACCCAGUGUGUUUCGACACACUAUCAUUAACUGAAUCCAUAGGUUAAUGAGGCGAACCGGGGGAACUGAAACAUCUAAGUACCCCGAGGAAAAGAAAUCAACCGAGAUUCCCCCAGUAGCGGCGAGCGAACGGGGAGCAGCCCAGAGUCUGAAUCAGCUUGUGUGUUAGUGGAACGGUCUGGAAAGUCCGACGGUACAGGGUGAUAGUCCCGUACACCAAAAUGCACAGGUUGUGAACUCGAAGAGUAGGGCGGGACACGUGGUAUCCUGUCUGAAUAUGGGGGGACCAUCCUCCAAGGCUAAAUACUCCUGACUGACCGAUAGUGAACCAGUACCGUGAGGGAAAGGCGAAAAGAACCCCGGCGAGGGGAGUGAAAAAGAACCUGAAACCGUGUACGUACAAGCAGUGGGAGCACCUUCGGGUGUGACUGCGUACCUUUUGUAUAAUGGGUCAGCGACUUAUAUUCUGUAGCAAGGUUAACCGUAUAGGGGAGCCGAAGGGAAACCGAGUCUUAACUGGGCGUUAAGUUGCAGGGUAUAGACCCGAAACCCGGUGAUCUAGCCAUGGGCAGGUUGAAGGUUGGGUAACACUAACUGGAGGACCGAACCGACUAAUGUUGAAAAAUUAGCGGAUGACUUGUGGCUGGGGGUGAAAGGCCAAUCAAACCGGGAGAUAGCUGGUUCUCCCCGAAAGCUAUUUAGGUAGCGCCUCGUGAACUCAUCUUCGGGGGUAGAGCACUGUUUCGGCUAGGGGGCCAUCCCGGCUUACCAACCCGAUGCAAACUACGAAUACCGAAGAAUGUUAUCACGGGAGACACACGGCGGGUGCUAACGUCCGUCGUGAAGAGGGAAACAACCCAGACCGCCAGCUAAGGUCCCAAAGUCAUGGUUAAGUGGGAAACGAUGUGGGAAGGCACAGACAGCCAGGAUGUUGGCUUAGAAGCAGCCAUCAUUUAAAGAAAGCGUAAUAGCUCACUGGUCGAGUCGGCCUGCGCGGAAGAUGUAACGGGGCUAAACCAUGCACCGAAGCUGCGGCAGCGACGCUUAUGCGUUGUUGGGUAGGGGAGCGUUCUGUAAGCCUGUGAAGGUGUGCUGUGAGGCAUGCUGGAGGUAUCAGAAGUGCGAAUGCUGACAUAAGUAACGAUAAAGCGGGUGAAAAGCCCGCUCGCCGGAAGACCAAGGGUUCCUGUCCAACGUUAAUCGGGGCAGGGUGAGUCGACCCCUAAGGCGAGGCCGAAAGGCGUAGUCGAUGGGAAACAGGUUAAUAUUCCUGUACUUGGUGUUACUGCGAAGGGGGGACGGAGAAGGCUAUGUUGGCCGGGCGACGGUUGUCCCGGUUUAAGCGUGUAGGCUGGUUUUCCAGGCAAAUCCGGAAAAUCAAGGCUGAGGCGUGAUGACGAGGCACUACGGUGCUGAAGCAACAAAUGCCCUGCUUCCAGGAAAAGCCUCUAAGCAUCAGGUAACAUCAAAUCGUACCCCAAACCGACACAGGUGGUCAGGUAGAGAAUACCAAGGCGCUUGAGAGAACUCGGGUGAAGGAACUAGGCAAAAUGGUGCCGUAACUUCGGGAGAAGGCACGCUGAUAUGUAGGUGAAGCGACUUGCUCGUGGAGCUGAAAUCAGUCGAAGAUACCAGCUGGCUGCAACUGUUUAUUAAAAACACAGCACUGUGCAAACACGAAAGUGGACGUAUACGGUGUGACGCCUGCCCGGUGCCGGAAGGUUAAUUGAUGGGGUUAUCCGUAAGGAGAAGCUCUUGAUCGAAGCCCCGGUAAACGGCGGCCGUAACUAUAACGGUCCUAAGGUAGCGAAAUUCCUUGUCGGGUAAGUUCCGACCUG